rnacentral:rRNA from 1 species
GGAGCCGUAGCGAAAGCGAGUUUUAACUGAGCGUUCAGUUACUUGACGUAGACCCGAAACCGGGCGACCUACCCAUGAGCAGGAUGAAGCGAAAGUAAAAUUUCGUGGAGGUCCGAACCCACGAGCGUUGAAAAGCUCGGGGAUGACUUGUGGGUAGCGGUGAAAUUCCAAUCGAGCCCGGAGAUAGCUGGUUCUCCCCGAAAUAGCUUUAGGGCUAGCCUCAAGGUGAGAGAUACGGAGGUAGAGCACUGAAUGUCCUAGGGGGUAUUGCACCUACCGAAGACUAUCAAACUCCGAAUGCCGUCAUCUUAUACUUGGGAGUCAGACUGUGGGUGAUAAGAUUCAUAGUCGAAAGGGCAACAGCCCAGAUCGUCAGCUAAGGUCCCUAAAUGUAAGUUAAGUGGUAAAGGAUGUGGGAUUGCACAGACAACCAGGAUGUUGGCUUAGAAGCAGCCACUCAUUCAAAGAGUGCGUAAUAGCUCACUGGUCAAGUGAUCCUGCGCCGAAGAUUUCCGGGGCUAAAACUUACUACCGAAGCUACGGCAUCAGUAAUGAUGGGUAGGGGAGCUUCCCAUACGGGUUGAAGCAUGACCGUAAGGACAUGUGGACAGUAUGGGAGGGAGAAUGUUGGCAUGAGUAGCGAGAUGUGGGUGGGAAUCCCACAGGCCGUAAACCCAAGGUUUCCAGGGGAAGGUUCGUCCGCCCUGGGUUAGUCGGGACCUAAGCUGAGGCCGAAAGGCGUAGGUGAUGGACAACAGGUUGAUAUUCCUGUACUACCGAUAACCGUUUGAGAGAAGGGAUGACACAGUAGGAUAAGCUAAGCACACUGUUGGUUAUGUGUGCCCAAGCAUUGAGGCAGUCAAAGUAGGCAAAUCCGCUUUGAUAAUGCUGGGAUGUGAUGGGGAGCGAAAUUUAGUAGCGAAGUAGCUGAUUUCACACUGUCAAGAAAAGUCUCUAUCGAGGUUAAAGGUACCCGUACCGCAAACCGACACAGGUG